rnacentral:lncRNA from 1 species
AGACUAAACCACCAGGGUAUAUUGUAGACUACUUUCCCCACACUUUGCUGUGGCCAUAGUUAUUAUAGAAGCACCUAAGUGAUCGCUGUAAUCAAAACCAACCCACAUUAUUAAUGAGAAGCUAAAACUUGAUUUCUGUAGCAAAGAUAAAAUCCAAACAUCAUCCUAGUGAAGAUAUAUACACAUAAGCUUUGAGAGCUGCUGAGCACUGUAAUAUACAAAGUUGACAUUAGUGAAUACUGCCGACACUGAAAGACUGACCAUCCUCCUAAGCUAGGGCCCUGCCUACCCUAGACAACACAGGAAGAGGUUCCGAUUUCCUGAAGCUACUUAGUGAAGCUCUCCUUGAGGAUGCUAAGAAGCAACCACCUUGGAGACCGAAGGUUUAGGGUAUCCCAAACUCUUGAUGUUAUAAGUUUCCAGAAUGAACCUGUUGUGAGAUGUCCUUUGAUGGUUUAUUUGCUAAGAGGGAAUUUUGGUAUUUUAUGCAUGGUUCAUUGUUGCCAAGAAAUACAUAAGAGAAAAGGCAUCUUUACAUACAGGUUUCUUUGGAAGAGACCACAGACUGAAAAGAGAAACUGAUUUUUUUCAUACUGCCACGUUUUUUAAAAAUGCUAGGAAAAGCUCUACUGAGAGUAAGUUAUAUACUGUGACCACAGCAAAGUGAGUCUUCGACUGUAUGGCGCCUGUGCUCACUUACAUCAGAGCUAUUUAUUCACUGCUGCCUUUAAAACUAUGUCUUCACUGAAAACGUGACAGGGUUGUAGUGCCUUCUUAGCAUAUGAAGUUGUGAUUUUAAGACAGUAGAGUGCCUUUCUGCUGUAGCACACAGCAUAACUGUUUCAGUGUCCCGCUGGUACCUGUUCUUAUUCAAUAAAUCUCUC